rnacentral:piRNA from 1 species
UGAGGUUGGACCUUAGGAAGUUGCUU